rnacentral:rRNA from 1 species
UACGUAGGUGGCAAGCGUUGUCCGGAUUUAUUGGGUUUAAAGGGUGCGUAGGCGGCCCUGUAAGUCAGUGCUGAAAUAUCCCAGCUUAACUGGGAGGGUGGCAUUGAUACUGCGGGGCUAGAGUACAGAUGAGGUAGGCGGAAUUGACGGUGUAGCGGUGAAAUGCUUAGAUAUCGUCAAGAACACCUAUAGCGAAGGCAGCUUACUAGGCUGUAACUGACGCUGAGGCACGAGAGUGUGGGGAUCAAACAGG